AUUGAACGCUGGCGGAAUGCUUUACACAUGCAAGUCGAACGGCAGCACGGGGCAACCUGGUGGCGAGUGGCGAACGGGUGAGUAAUACAUCGGAACGUGCCCAGUCGUGGGGGAUAACGUAGCGAAAGCUACGCUAAUACCGCAUACGAUCUACGGAUGAAAGACGGGGGACGUCGCAAGAGCCUCGCGCGAUUGGAGCGGCCGAUGGCAGAUUAGGUAGUUGGUGGGGUAAAGGACGUCACCAAGCCUGCGAUCUGUAGCUGGUCUGAGAGGACGACCAGCCACACUGGAACUGAGACACGGUCCAGACUCCUACGGGAGGCAGCAGU
rnacentral:rRNA from 1 species